UUUAGAACGUUUACUUCUUUUCACAGAUUGUUCUGCAUAAGCCUUCACCGGUAUAUCAAUUGUGUACUUUCUAUCCCGUACGCCAUUAUGGCACAACACUGUGCCCUGCCAGGAUGCAAUGUAGCAAGAGGUCGAGGUAAUCACGGUGUUUACAUAUUGGAAAUAAAUCCUUAUCCGCGAAUAAAUAAAGAGUGGCAAAAGAAACUGUUGGAGUUUUGUUACGACUAUCGUGAUAAGAAAGAUAUUUUUAAAUUGGCUAAAAAAAGACAUCUAGGAAUUUGUGAGAAACAUUUCGAUUCAAAUGAAUUCAGUUAUCGUAAAGGAAGAAAACGUGUUAUUGUUGGAAGCAUUCCUACAAAAAACUUACCCCAAAAAUUUCUUGAAUCUUCGCAACCGAAAGCUUGGAGAAAGAUAGUAAAGUCUGGGUUGAAAAAAACACCAAGGCAUAAAUCUUGGGCUGAUAUAAGCAAUUCCUUUCUUAAGUUGAAACAGCCAAAUUGGUUUAUCUUUCAAAAUUUUGAAACAUUCAAGUUAGUGGGGAACAUGGAAUCUCACAGAAUAUUCAUCAACAUUGAGAAAGAUUUGACCAUAGGGUGCACAUUACAAAACGAAAUAGAAGAGCGAAUAAUUGAGUGGGAAGGCCCUAAUAUUGUUGAAGACACAAUUUCGAGUGUUUUGUUUUAUGCGAAAAGUUUACAACUUAGAAAUGGUGUUUGAAAACAAACGGUCAGUGAGAAAUCCUUGAAUAAGGACUUUUAAGACUUAUUGCAGUAUUGUACAGUACCCCAACUGAAAUUAUAAAUUGGAAAAUCCUGUUGAACCAAAGAGUCACAUCUACCUAUUCAGAUUCACCACAUUUAUUGAAGGUCCUUUCUCCAUCUGUUGCUAGAAUUUUGAAAAGAUCAGGAUACGAAGCGACUGUCAAAUAUUUCAGACUGUGGAACACCUUUUUUGACUUUUGAUAUAUGUAACAGCACUACUGGUGUAGCCUAGCUUUUCCAAAAAAUGAAAAUGCACUACUAUUCAUUUACGUGAAUAUCCAUUGAGGUGUACACAGUAUGCUCCCAGCUUUUUAUUGGGGGGUCCAAAGGUAUGGGGUGGUAGAUGUUUUAUUUUAUUCAUCCCUUUCACCAUACAAUUUGAUAUGUUGGAUUGCAUUUGUGACAUAUCACCAAAUUCAGUAUUUUCAGCAAUGAAAUACACAAAAAUAUGCCUACCAAAUAUAGGAAACAUAAAACUGGGACAGUGCGGAUUCGACAAGUCUUGCUUCGUUCCUCAGUUUUAGUAAUAUUCAGGUCAUUGAACAUUAGUAGUAUUCAAAGCGUGCACUUUCUUUUAAACAAUUUAAGGGCAGUACAGCUAAUGUUAGACGUUACAUUGACGUAUUAAAAGUAAAAUAAAUAGUACAAUAGCAA